rnacentral:rRNA from 1 species
AUCGAACGCUGGCGGCAGGCCUAACACAUGCAAGUCGAACGAGUGGCGGACGGGUGUGUAGUGUCUGGGAAACUGCCUGAUGGAGGGGGCUAACUACUGGAACCGGUGGCUAAUCCCGCUAACCUUCGGAUGUGCACAGAUGGGCUUAGCUAGUGGGUGGGGUAAAGGCUCACCUAGGCGACGAUCCCUAGCUGGUCUGAGAGGAUGACCGGCCACACUGGAACUGAGACACGGUCCAGACUCCUACGGGAGGCAGCAGUGGGGAAUAUUGCACAAUGGGCGAAAGCCGGACGCAGCCCUGCCGCGGGUAUGAAGAAGGCCUUCGGGUGGUAAAGUACUUUCUGCGGGGAGGCGUUACCUGCAGAAGAAGCACCGGCUAACUCCGUGCCAGCAGCCGCGGUAAUUC